GGCUGCUAUUCAAGGUGCCACUGAGGUUGUAUUCAAAAUGGUGUUACCCUCCCUUGUCGUCGUCUAUGGUGUUAUAUUCGUCACCUACUCAUCUCCACUACCCCCUAAUAACGCCUACUAUAUUCGGAGUAGGAGAGUCACAGAUGGUGAAUUCAUGGAUACAGCAUCUGGUCAAAAUACCGAGGUUUCCCACCAUCAUACAAGUGUGGCGGGAGCUGAUUUCAGCUUUAUGUGCAGACAUGCACGAAGAGGAUUAAGUAAGAAUGACAAAACAUACCGAUGGGAUAAUAGGCAGGACCCUUGAAAACACAUUGCUGAUCUGACGAAUUGCAGCGAAAAAUGAACAGAGGAGUCGCGAGUUUUAUAAUCGUUAAAAUAUUAGAAUGAUACUUUAUUUAUCCUUUCUGUAAUUUGAUAGCAAUACAGGAAUAAACUUGAUACAUGCCUGUCAAUUUCAUGACUUAUAUAGAGCAAUGAAUAAAAACGUGAAAAGGUUUUUUAAUUCUCAAAAACUCCAUUC